rnacentral:lncRNA from 1 species
CGGCCGCCCGGGCGUUUGAAAAGCGGCUACGCAGGCGGCAAAAGGUCCUCGGGUGGCGGGCUUGUCUCUGCUUGCAGACUGGCAGGGCUGCAGCGUGGCUUUUUCCUUGAGUCGGGGCACAGUUAGGAUCUGGGCUGGCGGCCCGAGGCAGAGGAGCCGGGCGCGCUGCAGCAGACGGCGGUGGGACCUGGCUGCGGAGCGGGGUCCGGGCAUCAGGGACCGGGGGCGGGCAGUGGGGGUCCCGCCGGGGGUCCCGGAUUACCCGCGACUCAACUGGACCUCACUUCCCCCCAGCCGCCUUCGCCCCCGGACCGCUCACCGCAACCAUGGUCUCCAAAUCCGACCAAUUGCUCAUCGUCGUGUCCAUCCUAGAAGGCUUCCUGCGAUUCCAGAAGUGUUCCGGAGGCAAUUCCCUUUACACGUCUUGCUGGAGGACUCAGGGGACUACAGUUCUUAAGAGGGUGUAUUAUACAUUCCUUAAAAGGUCGGCAUUUCCCCAAACGUCCAAAGCAUAUGCUUGUAGUGGAAGCAAAGUUUGAUGGAGAACAGUUGGCUACUGAUCCUGUGGACCACACUGACCAGCCAGAAUUUGCUACUGAGUUAGCU